CAAAAAAAACGCAUGUACACAAUGCCUCUGCAGAAGACAGAGGAUCAAGAGAAAUACCCUUAUGAUACGUACAGAUGUUUAAGCAAAAGCUUUGUUGUAUAUAUUUAAUAAAAGUGUAUUAACUGUUUUAUGAUUCAUAAUAAUGAAUAAUAAUCUCCCUUUGAACCCAUGUGAUACACGUACUCAAACAGAAAUUCGGCCAUUAUUUAUCUGACAUAUUACACUCGUCCUUAUCUAUACGUACAUGUAUACACAAUUAUAAGGAGAUAUACCUCAAACACUGCAAAUAAGUAGAAAUGGAAACAUUGCCUAUAGGGACCGUAUUCCUUAUGUUCGUCGUGUUUGGAUCUGUUACAAUCAGUGGCGUAGACCCGAGUAAGGUGGAACUGCAUAAAGAUUUUGAAAGUAUUAAUGCCAAAUCAAGAAGAUUUCUUAUGACCCAUCAUUCAAAUAUGCGUAAGUG